ACGCUCAAGUUUUUCUUCAUAUCGAAUAAAUCUUUUGCCUUUUACUAAAGAUUUCCGUGGAGAGGAACGUAUUGAGUUGAAAUUAAUUUUUUUGAUGCCCUGCUUAAAUGCGGGGCU